CUGCGAAUGGCUCAUUAAAUCAGUUAUCGUUUACUUGAUAGCACCUUACUACAUGGAUAACCGUGGUAAUUCUAGAGCUAAUACAUGCUAGAAAACCCCAACUGCACGGACGGGGUGUAUUUAUUAGAUUCAAAACCAAUGCCGCGUCUCCGGGGCUUUAUGGUGAAUCAUGAUAACUUCUCGGAUCGCACGGCCUUGCGCUGGCGAUGGUUCAUUCAAAUUUCUGCCCUAUCAACUUUCGAUGGCUGGGUCUUGGCCAGCCAUGGUGACAACGGGUAACGGUAGGGUUAGGGCUCGAUCCCCGGAGAAGGAGCCUGAGAGACGGCUACUACAUCCAAGGAAGGCAGCAGGCGCGCAAAUUACCCAAUCCCAACUCGGGGAGGUAGUGACAAUACAUACUGAUACAGGGCUCUUUUGGGUCUUGUAAUUGGAAUGAGUACAAUUUAAAUCCCUUAACGAGGAACAAUUGGAGGGCAAGUCUGGUGCCAGCAGCCGCGGUAAUUCCAGCUCCAAUAGCGUAUAUUAAAGUUGUUGAGGUUAAAAAGCUCGUAGUUGAACCUUGGGCCUGGCCGGCUGGUCCGCCUUUCACCGCGUGCACUGGACCGGCCGGGGCUUUCCUUGUGGGGAGCCGCUAUGCCCUUUAUUGGGUGUGCCGGGGAACCAGGACUUUUACUCUGAACAAAUCAGAUCGCUUAAAGAAGGCCUAUGCCUGAAUGCUCUAGCAUGGAAUAAUAGAAUAGGACGCGCGGUUCUAUUUUGUUGGUUUCUAGGACCGCCGUAAUGAUUAAUAGGGACAGUCGGGGGCAUCAGUAUUCAAUUGUCAGAGGUGAAAUUCUUGGAUUUAUUGAAGACUAACUACUGCGAAAGCAUUUGCCAAGGAUGUUUUCAUUAAUCAGGAACGAAAGUUAGGGGAUCGAAAACGAUCAGAUACCGUUGUAGUCUUAACCAUAAACUAUGCCGAUUAGGGAUCGGAAGGUGUUAGGUGGGAUUCU
rnacentral:rRNA from 1 species